rnacentral:rRNA from 1 species
AUUGAACGCUGGCGGCAUGCCUUACACAUGCAAGUCGAACGGUAACGGGCCUUCGGGUGCCGACGAGUGGCGAACGGGUGAGUAAUGCAUCGGAACGUACCUUUCAGUGGGGGAUAACGUAGCGAAAGUUACGCUAAUACCGCAUAUUCUGUGAGCAGGAAAGCAGGGGAUCGCAAGACCUUGCGCUGAUUGAGCGGCCGAUGUCAGAUUAGCUAGUUGGUGAGGUAAAGGCUCACCAAGGCGACGAUCUGUAGCGGGUCUGAGAGGAUGAUCCGCCACACUGGAACUGAGACACGGUCCAGACUCCUACGGGAGGCAGCAGUGGGGGAUUUUGGACAAUGGGGGCAACCCUGAUCCAGCCAUGCCGCGUGAGUGAAGAAGGCC